rnacentral:rRNA from 1 species
GACGUAGGGCGCGAGCGUUGUCCGGAUUUAUUGGGCGUAAAGAGCGUGUAGGCGGCCCGAUAAGUCCGCCGUGUGAAAGUCCAGGGCUCAACCCUGGAAUGCCGGUGGAAACUGUCGGGCUGGAGUCCGGAAGAGGCGAGUGGAAUUCCUGGUGUAGCGGUGAAAUGCGCAGAUAUCAGGAGGAACACCAAUGGCGAAGGCAGCUCGCUGGGACGGUACUGACGCUGAGACGCGAAAGCGUGGGGAGCAAACAGG